UACAGAGGUCUCAAGCGUUGUUCGGAUUCAUUGGGCGUAAAGGGUGCGUAGGUGGCGCCGUAAGUCAGGUGUGAAAUUUCGGAGCUUAACUCCGAAACUGCAUUUGAUACUGCGGUGCUUGAGGACUGGAGAGGAGACUGGAAUUCACGGUGUAGCAGUGAAAUGCGUAGAUAUCGUGAGGAAGACCAGUGGCGAAGGCGGGUCCCUGGACAACACCUGACACUGAGGCACGAAAGCUAGGGGAGCAAACAGG
rnacentral:rRNA from 1 species